CUCUUUCUUUGCAAGAAAGCCACGCCGUCCUCAAUUGUAUCCGUAUCCUGAGAUCCAAGCUUCCACAAACAGGCCGGCAAAACUACUAGUACUAGGGGAAGAGAUCAGCAGAAUUGAAGCACAUUAGCUUUGCGUCCAUGUAGCAACCAAAAACCUAACCCACCGGCUUGUAUCUCAUCUCCACGACCAACACCACUGGGUCGAGGCGACGAUGGACCUCGUCGUUGGCGCCUCCAACGAUGCCGUGAAAUCGCUGGUGAGCAAGCUCGGGAGCCUCCUGGCUCAGGAGUACACCCUGAUCGGAGGCGUCAGCGACGACAUCCAGUACAUCAACGACGAGCUGGCCAGCAUGCAGGCCUUCCUCAACAGGCUCAAGCAGGAGGCCAAGCACGACGAGCAGCGGCAGGACUGGAUGAAGCAGGUGCGGGAGGUCGCCUACGACAUCGAGGACUGCAUGGACAACGCCGGCUACCGCCUCAGCCGCGAGCCCCGGGGGACCGGCAAGCUGGCCUCCCUCAGGCGGGCUUGGUAUCUCCUCACUACGCUCUACGCACGACACUGCAUCGCCACCGAGAUCGGCAACCUCAAGGCUCGAGCGCAGCACGUCAGCGAGCGGCGCACUAGGUACGGAGUUGAGAACAUGGCACGAGAUAGCUUCGGAGGGAGAAAAUAGCCCCAUUGACCGUCCAGCGCCUCAUCCUCAGCUCAUCGGCACUGUGGCGCCUGUGGGCAUCGAGGGCGCCAAGGUGGAGCUCAAGCCAUGGUUCUUGGAGGUGAUGGAACAGAGUACCAAUGAUUAGCCUAAAUUCCUCACCAUUGUUGGGUUUGGUGGCCUCGGCAAGACUACCCUUGCCAUGGCCUUGUACCACGCAUUUGGAGACGAGUUUGAUUGCAGGGCAUCCUUCUAGCAUCGCAGAAGUUCCAUCUCCAGAUGGUUCUGAGAAGCCUUAUCAAGCAGUUUCACAACCAGCAGGCUAGUGCUUCCAAGAAUGACAUCGAAGGAAUUGAGGAAAUGGGACUCGAAGCGCUCAAAAACCAGCUCGCCCGUCAGCUAGAAGAGAAGAGGUAUGGAGUUGAGAACCUGGCACGAGACAUCGCUUCAAAGGGAGAAAAUAGCCCCAUUGACCGCCCAACGCCUCAUCCUCGGCUCAUCGGCACUGUGGCGCCUGUGGGCAUUGAGGGCGCCAAGGUGGAGCUCGA